rnacentral:rRNA from 1 species
UACAGAGGCCUCGAGCGUUAGGCGGAAUCACUGGGCUUAAAGCGUGUGUAGGCGGACUUCUAAGUACCUUGUGAAAUCCCACGGCUCACCCGUGGAACUGCUUGGUAUACUGGUUGUCUUGAGCCUUCUAGGGGCGAGUGGAACAAAUGGUGGAGCGGUGAAAUGCGUAGAUAUCAUUUGGAACGCCAAUGGUGAAAACAACUCGCUGGGGAGGUGCUGACGCUGAGACACGAAAGCCAGGGGAGCGAACGGG